rnacentral:rRNA from 1 species
GACUGAGCGGUUUAAAGUGGUAAGCUUGAAACUUAUUUGAUCUAUUUGAUCACAUCCGUUCGAAUCGGAUAUUCUCUGAAUAAAUACACAGGUUAGAGCCAGGUGGUUAGGCGUCUCAAUUGGGAUGAGGAAUUGUUAUGUUCGAAUCAUAAUAACCUGAUAAAAAAAAUAAAUAAUUACAUAUGUAUGAUAUUAUUUUUUUUGAUAUAAUAAAUAUCAAAAUAAGUAUAUAAAGAGAUUAUUACGGAUAUCUGGCUAUAUAUUAAAGAUAGAUAUGAAAAAUUAAUAUCUAAUAUAAAUUUAAUAAUAAACAAAGUGAAUUGAAAUAUCUUAAUAACUUUAGGAAAAGAAAUCAAACGAGAUUUUAUUAUUAGUGUAUACUAAUAUAAAAAAGCUUAUAAGUAAAAUGGAAAAUAUCUGUUUGAAUAAAGGGGAACCUUCCUCUAAAGCUAAAUAUAAUAUAUAAGCGAUAGUGAAUAGUACCGUGAGGUAUAGAUAGAAAUAGUAAUUUUAUAAGCAGCUCAAAAAAAAUUUUAAAUAAAUAAUACGAGCGGACCUUUUGCAUAAUGGGUCAGCAAGUUAAACUUAGAUGCAAGCAAAUAAAAAUUAUUUGCCUAGAUAAACCAAUUAUGAGAAAAUGAUAAGUAUCUAAAUUUAGACCCGAAGGCUAGUGAUCUUACCAUGAUCAGGCUUAAGGCCGAACGGGUUAUCGUUGUAGAGAUAUCCGAUGAAUUGUGGUAAGUUGGUGAAAGACAAAACUGACUAGUAUAGCUGGUUUUCCGCGAAACCUAUGUGAGUAGGUAAUUUAAUUAACAUCUUAGCAGGUACAGAACUAGGAUCUCGGACAAUAUGUAAAUUUUGUACACAUCGGGGGAUCGUGAAGAUUUUAUCGGAGAGUAUUUGCACUCGAAAGGGCAAAGAUGAGUAUUGAAUAAUCGGACAUAGUACGAUAAGGUUGUAUGUCUAAAGGGAAACAGCCCUGAACAAGAGUUAUAAGGUUCCAAAAUUAUUAUUGAGUGAAAUUAAGGAUGUACUUAUCAAAUACAACCAGGAAAUAGGCUUAGAAGCGGCCAUUUUUUGAAGACCUCGUAACAGAGCACUGGUUAAUAAAAUUUCAUUUAGAUAGAUAUGUAUACCGAAAAUUUAACGGAUCUAAAUAAUAUACCGAAACCUUGUUCGUAUAUAUUAAUAUAUAAUAUUAUUUGUUUAAAUAUAUAUAUAUGAGGUAGCGGAACACUGGAUAAAUAUUAGAUUUUGUCUUUUUUAAGACAAAAAAUUAUAUAAGAAUCCAAGAGAGAAUGCUGGCAUGAGUAACGAAAAAGGAUUUAACAUCCUCGCCUUAAGCUUAUGGUAUUUUAUUUAAAUUUCGGUAUCUAAGUAGGAAGUAAAAUAAGUAAAAUGGUAAAUUGUUUGAAAAAAAACUUCUCCAAAUGGAUUCAAAUACGAUGAUAUAAAUAGAUUAGAGAAAAAACUUUUAUAAAGUGUUAAAGGUUCUGGAAAUUAAAUUUAAUCAAAUAAGCAAUUUUAAUUGCUCGGCGAAAUCCGAAACUAUCUAGACCGUACCUAAAUACUAACACAAGUAAGCAAGUAGAGUAUACAAAGGCGUUUGAGUGAAUAAUCAUUAAGGAACUCGGCAAAUUGACUCCGUAACUUCGGGAUAAGGAGGGCCGUUAUUACAGAAAAAUAUUUCUGUUAAAUAAGAGGAAACAUGAAAUAAUGUUGUACGACUGUUUAAUUAAAACAAAUCACUCUGCAAAGAUUAAAAAUCAAAGUAUUGAGUGUGAUGUCUGCCCAAUGUCGGUUGUAUAACUGAGAUACUUAAUUUAAAAGGUUAGGUUUUGAAGGACACUCCGAUCAAUGGCGGCCUUAUCUAUAAGGGUCCUAAGGUAGCGGAAUACCCUGGCCGUUAAAUGCGGUCUUGCAUGAAUGACUUAACGAUACAACAGCUGUCUCGAUGAUUAGCUCAGUGAAAUUGGAAUAGCGGUGCAGAUACCGCUUAACUCUAGGUAGACGAGAGUGCGACUAGUAAAGUGUUUAAUAAUAAUGUGGUGAAAACCCACCAGAUAACCCAUUAUCUGAGCUCAUACGGUGUGCAUUAAAAGUAAUUUUUUUGUAUAAAGCCCGUUUAAUCAGGUAAAUAAUCCUUCCAUCCUAAUUAUAUCUAUAGAUAUAAAAGGAUGGUGAGCUAUAUUACUAUGGAUAAGAUUUUUUUGAAUUCACGUUUGAAGCGUAUUAGAGUAAGUUUUAUUUAAAAGGAAAAAAAAAAAUUAAAUAAAAUUAAAUUAAUUGUAUAAAUAAGUUUUCGUUUAUUUAUUAAUGGGUCUUAUAUUAAUGUACGUAUAGUGAAAUCCUAAUGUAGUAAUUAAGGUGUUAUUAAAUAAACUAGGUAAGCCCAAUAAUGUCUUCAUAAUAUGAAGAAGUUCAAGUGUAAAUUUGAAUAUACAUUAGUGGGUAAAGGAUAUUUUAAAAAGCGAAUGUCUCAUAUUAAUAGUGAGAAUAGGUCUAUGACUAAUUCGAAAGAAUGCUGACUUAAAAUUAAUAUUAAUAUUAAUAUAUAUAUAUUAAUAUUUGAGCCGUAUGCGAUGAAAAUCGCACGUACGGUUCUUAGAGGGGGAAAGCUCGAGAGGGCCUACCUAUCUCCACAGACCCUAUGCAGCUUUACUGUUACCUUUUAUGAAUAUAGUAAGUCAAUUGUGAGUGUAUAAGGUAAUUGUUAAAUAAAAUUGAAACACCUUUAUUUAAACUAUUAUAUUCUUUAUGACUGGAAGACAGUUUAUGCGGGGCACAGAUCCCAUAAAAAGUACCUGGGUAUAUCCAAAGUUAAUAAUGUAAGUUUGUAAAUUUUAAUUUACAAUAAUAAUAUAUUUAUAUUUAUAAAUUAUUAUUAUUUAGUUUGUUAUUAAUUAUAUUUUAUAUUUAUUCAGUUAUUAUUGUAUUAAAUUCGAAUUUUAUAAAAUUUAAGUAAGAUUUUAACUAUAUGGUAAAUAGAUGUAUCUCAAAUAUUAAUAAAAUUUUUUAUUAGUAUUUUAUUUAUAUUAAUAUUGUAUAUAUAAACCUUUAUUAAUAUGAUAAUUAUUUAUACUUUAAAAGUUUAAUGGCUAAAUCUUGCUUUACUGUUUGACUUACAAGUCUAUCAG